AGUGAACGCUGGCGGUAGGCCUAACACAUGCAAGUCGAACGGCAGCACAGUAAGGGCUUGCUCUUACGGGUGGCGAGUGGCGGACGGGUGAGGAAUACAUCGGAAUCUACUUUUUCGUGGGGGAUAACGUAGGGAAACUUACGCUAAUACCGCAUACGACCUACGGGUGAAAGCAGGGGAUCUUCGGACCUUGCGCGAUUGAAUGAGCCGAUGUCGGAUUAGCUAGUUGGCGGGGUAAAGGCCCACCAAGGCGACGAUCCGUAGCUGGUCUGAGAGGAUGAUCAGCCACACUGGAACUGAGACACGGACCAGAUUCCUACGGGAGGAAGCAGUGGGGAAGAUGGGACAAGGGGCGCAAGCCUGAACCAGCCAUACCGCGUGGGUGAAGAAGGCCUUCGGGUUGUAAAGCCCUUUUGUUGGGAAAGAAAAGCAGCAGGUUAAUACCCCGCUGUUCUGACGGUACCCAAAGAAGAAGCACCGGCUAACUUCGGU
rnacentral:rRNA from 1 species